rnacentral:rRNA from 1 species
GAUGAACGCUGGCGGCGUGCCUAAUACAUGCAAGUCGAGCGAACAGACGAGGAGCUUGCUCCUCUGACGUUAGCGGCGGACGGGUGAGUAACACGUGGAUAACCUACCUAUAAGACUGGGAUAAAUUCGGGAAACCGGAGCUAAUACCGGAUAAUAUAUUGAACCGCAUGGUUCAAUAGUGAAAGACGGUUUUGCUGUCACUUAUAGAUGGAUCCGCGCCGCAUUAGCUAGUUGGUAAGGUAACGGCUUACCAAGGCAACGAUGCGUAGCCGACCUGAGAGGAUGAUCGGCCACACUGGAACUGAGACACGGUCCAGACUCCUACGGGAGGCAGCAGUGGGGAAUCUUCCGCAAUGGGCGAAAGCUUGACGGAGCAACGCCGCGUGAGUGAUGAAGGUCUUCGGAUCGUAAAACUCUGUUAUUAGGGAAGAACAAAUGUGUAAGUAACUAUGCACGUCUUGACGGUACCUAAUCAGAAAGCCACGGCUAACUACGUG